UACGUAGGGUGCAAGCGUUAAUCGGAAUUACUGGGCGUAAAGCGUGCGCAGGCGGUUUUGUAAGUUUGUCGUGAAAGCCCCGGGCUCAACCUGGGAAUUGCGAUGAAGACUGCAAGGCUUGAAUCUGGCAGAGGGGGGUAGAAUUCCACGUGUAGCAGGUGAAAUGCGCAGAUAUCGGGAAGAACACCCGUGGCGAAGGCGGCUCUCUGGAACGCAACUGACGCUGAGACGCGAAAGCGUGGGGAGCAAACAGG
rnacentral:rRNA from 1 species